rnacentral:rRNA from 1 species
UACGGAGGGGGCUAGCGUUGUUCGGAAUUACUGGGCGUAAAGCGCGCGUAGGCGGAUGUUCAAGUCGGGGGUGAAAUCCCGGGGCUCAACCCCGGAACUGCCUCCGAUACUGGACGUCUGGAGGACGGGAGAGGCGAGUGGAAUGCCGAGUGUAGAGGUGAAAUUCGUAGAUAUUCGGCGGAACACCCGUGGCGAAGGCGGCUCGCUGGUCCGUUUCUGACGCUGAGGCGCGAAAGCGUGGGGAGCAAACAGG